GGGCCCGCACAAGCGGUGGAGCAUGUUGCUUAAUUCGAGGCAACGCGAAGAACCUUACCCAGGUUUGACAUCGGAGGCACCGGCCCGAAACGGCCGUUCCGGCAACGGACCUCCAGACAGAUGCUGCAUGGCUGUCGUCAGCUCGUGCCGUGAGGUGUUCGGUUAAGUCCGGCAACGAGCGCAACCCAUGCCGCCAGUUGCCACCGGGUGAUGCCGGGGACUCUGGCGGGACCGCCCGUGUCAAGCGGGAGGAAGGCGUGGACGACGUCAAGUCCGUAUGGCUCCUACGCCUGGGGCCGCAAACGUGCUACAAUGGCCGGUACAGAAGGACGCUUGGCCGCGAGGCCCGGCAAAUCCCCAAAGCCGGCCCCAGUUCGGAUUGCAGCCUGCAACUCGGCUGCAUGAAGCCGGAAUCGCUAGUAAAGGGGCAUCAGCCACGGCCCCUUGAAUACGUUCCCGGGCCUU
rnacentral:rRNA from 1 species